rfam:Hordeum vulgare subsp. vulgare, WGS project CAJW01000000 data, contig: morex_contig_66073
AAUCUACUCCCUCCGUCCCAAAAUUAUUGUCUUAGGUUUAUAUAGAAAUGGAUGUAUCUAAAUACUAAGAUGUGACUAGAUACAUUCAUAUAUAGAUUAUUCUAAGACAAGAAUUUUGGGACAAAGGGAGUAUGUA